rnacentral:rRNA from 1 species
CAGCCGCCGCGGUAAUACGGAGGGUGCAAGCGUUAAUCGGAAUUACUGGGCGUAAAGCGUGCGUAGGCGGUUCGUUAAGUCUGUUGUGAAAGCCCCGGGCUCAACCUGGGAAUGGCAAUGGAUACUGGCGAGCUAGAGUGUGUCAGAGGAUGGUGGAAUUCCCGGUGCAGCGGUGAAAUGCGUAGAGAUCGGGAGGAACAUCAGUGGCGAAGGCGGCCAUCUGGGACAACACUGACGCUGGGGCACGAAAGCGUGGGGAGCAAACAGGAUUAGAUACCCCCGUAGUCCCUGUCUCUUAUAC